GAACUCUAGAAAUAUACGAAUCAUAUACUGAAGUUUUCAUAAUGUUAAAAACCCAUAUUUUGUAUUAGUUUUUAUUAGGGGACCACAAUGAAGCAUAUAAAUUUUAAAACGUCGUGUUUUUCUGUCGCGAACACUUCAAAAUGUUUGGAAAGUGUGAGUAGAGGUUGUAGGACGAAUUGUAUUGAAGCCAUAUCGAAUUGUUUCAAGAUAAUGCUGGGAACGGUACCAUCUAUUAAUCCACCACUAUUCCUAUUUUCAACCAAAUGUUCUUAGCAGUGCAGCGCAAGGAAAUGUAUGAAGAAAGCACGAUGUUUUCGUGACAGAUUUAACGCCGCAGUUUUAAAUAGAAAACGGUCUUGAUGACCAGAUACUAUAUGCCAAAUAUAUAUAGGUAAAAUAAAACUUCGCGAAUAUUUCAUA